rnacentral:rRNA from 1 species
GAUGAACGCUGGCGGCGUGCCUAAUACAUGCAAGUCGAGCGAACAGACGAGGAGCUUGCUCCUUCGACGUUAGCGGCGGACGGGUGAGUAACACGUAGGUAACCUACCUAUAAGACUGGGAUAACUUCGGGAAACCGGAGCUAAUACCGGAUAAUAUUUCGAACCGCAUGGUUCGAUAGUGAAAGAUGGCUUUGCUAUCACUUAUAGAUGGACCUGCGCCGUAUUAGCUAGUUGGUAAGGUAACGGCUUACCAAGGCAACGAUACGUAGCCGACCUGAGAGGGUGAGCGGCCACACUGGAACUGAGACACGGUCCAGACUCCUACUGGAGGCAGCAGUAGGGAAUCUUCCGCAAUGGGCGAAAGCCUGACGGAGCAACGCCGCGUGAGUGAUGAAGGUCUUCGGAUCGUAAAACUCUGUUAUUAGGGAAGAACAAACGUGUAAGUAACUGUGCACGUCUUGACGGUACCUAAUCAGAAAGCCACGGCUAACUACGUG